UUAGGAAUAUUCGUCAAUGGGGGAAACCCUGAACGAGCAAUGCCGCGUGAGUGAUGAAGGUCUUAAUGAUUGUAAAACUCUGUUGCAAAGGAAGAACAGCUAUCAUAGGUAAUGAUGAUAGUGUGACGGUACUUUGCCAGAAAGCCCCGGCUAACUACGUGCCAGCAGCCGCGGUAAUACGUAGGGGGCGAGCGUUAUCCGGAUUUAUUGGGCGUAAAGCGUUCGUAGGCGGUUUGUUAAGUCUGAGAUUUAAGCCCGAGGCUCAACCUCGGUUCGUUUCAGAAACUGGCAGACUUGAGUGUGGUAGAGGCAAGUGGAAUUUCUAGUGUAGCGGUUAAAUGCGUAGAUAUUAGAAGGAACACCAGUGGCGAAGGCGGCUUGCUGGGCCAUUACUGACGCUGAGGAACGAAAGCGUGGGGAGCAAAUAGG
rnacentral:rRNA from 1 species